rnacentral:rRNA from 1 species
UACGUACCGUCCAAACGUUAUUCGGAAUUACUGGGCUUAAAGGGUAUGUAGGCGGCGCUGUUAGUCGGGUGUGAAAUCCCACGGCUCAACCGUGGAAUUGCGCCCGAUACUGCAGUGCUUGAGGGAGACAGAGGUAAGCGGAACUGAUGGUGGAGCGGUGAAAUGCGUUGAUAUCAUCAGGAGCACCGGUGGCGAAAGCGGCUUACUGGGUCUCUUCUGACGCUGAGAUACGAAAGCUAGGGGAGCGAAGGGG